rnacentral:rRNA from 1 species
CAGCCGCCGCGGUAAUACGAAGGGGGCUAGCGUUGUUCGGAUUUACUGGGCGUAAAGCGCACGUAGGCGGACUUUUAAGUCAGGGGUGAAAUCCCGGGGCUCAACCCCGGAACUGCCUUUGAUACUGGAAGUCUUGAGUAUGGUAGAGGUGAGUGGAAUUCCGAGUGUAGAGGUGAAAUUCGUAGAUAUUCGGAGGAACACCAGUGGCGAAGGCGGCUCACUGGACCAUUACUGACGCUGAGGUGCGAAAGCGUGGGGAGCAAACAGGAUUAGAUACCCGUGUAGUCCCUGUCUCUUAUAC